rnacentral:rRNA from 1 species
GGCAGCAGUGGGGAAUAUUGCACAAUGGGCGAAAGCCUGAUGCAGCGACGCCGCGUGAGGGAUGACGGCCUUCGGGUUGUAAACCUCUUUCAGCAGGGACGAAGCGCGAGUGACGGUACCUGCAGAAGAAGCACCGGCUAACUACGUGCCAGCAGCCGCG